UCGAAAUGAUAGACACAGUGACAGCUGGGAACGCAGUUCUGUACAUAAUUAAUGAACUGUCGUGGGAAAAUAGAUCGAGAAUACUUAUCCCCAUUCACCUUCUUCCAGAAAUCAUAUAUCUUAUGUUUGAUGUGUUCACAAGCUAUGGUUUCUGAAAGGACAAUUGAUAAAAGACACCAUGUAGGAUUAGUAAUUAUAAAAGUACAUCCGUUAUUUUGAUAAUUGCUCCAUCCAAAAACAACGUUAAGGCUCACCAUCUCGAUUUAGUCCAUAUAUAACCGUACAUCUAUUGAAGCUGAUCAACAGUUAAUGCUCAUUACAAAUCGUAAAAUUACUGAUGUGCCAUUCGUAUUAGAACAAAUGGAAUGAGAAAAUCGAGUUUUCGUUUCUUUCAUCUCUUUUCAAUCCAUCUCUCUCAAUCGGGAAUAAUGAAGAAUUACUGAUUUAAUUAAGCAGAAGAAUCUAAAAAGAAUAGAAGACAUCACAAAGACAGUAAUGAAGAAUUGAAGUUCAUGUGUGAAUCUAAGAAGAAGUCUUUCAUUUUGUUCUUCAGUUUGGGAACUGUUCUAUAGAUUACCUUCUGGAAUGAAUUUGAGGUUCAAAGAGAAAUUUUAGUUUUUUAUUUUUUUGUACCAAUUUAGGGUUUUUUCUGUAUGAAAUUAGAGCAUGGGUUUGCUGUAAUUUACAUCGGAUUAUUAGCUUCAAUUGAAUCAAUUGACUUGUUCUGGUUUGUAAUUGUAAAGCUAGGGUUCCGCAUGAUGAAAUUUAGGGGUUUUCCCAUAUCUGUUCUUAAUGUCAAAAGUUCAAAUUAAUGAA